rnacentral:rRNA from 1 species
UACGUAGGGGGCAAGCGUUGUCCGGAUUUAUUGGGCGUAAAGAGCGUGUAGGCGGCCAGGGAGGUCCGUUGUGAAAACUCGAGGCUCAACCUCGAGACGCCGAUGGAAACCCCCUGGCUAGAGUCCGGAAGAGGAGAAUGGAAUUCCUGGUGUAGCGGUGAAAUGCGCAGAUAUCAGGAAGAACACCCGUGGCGUAAGGCGGUUCUCCUAGUACGGUACUGACGCUGAGACGCGAAAGCGUGGGAGCGAACAGG